AGAACUGCCGGGCAUUCCCGCCACGCAAGACUUCCACGCCAGGGAGCAUCUCCUUUCCCCAUACCUAUACCCCCACUGUGAUUUCCCAAGGAAAGAAGAGGUCGAUAAUGGAAAGCCUACAAUAGCCCCCUCCCUUGCCUUGUCUGCAGCCCGCCCGGGGAGAAGAGAGAUUUCAGCUCUCCUGGAAAACCGCUGUGUGUGCAGAGCUGCCUUCCUGUGUCCGCAGAGCCGUGCUCGUAAUCAGUCUCAGCCACUACAUCUUGAUGGCACCUGGCAACUCGUGGCAGAAGAGGAAGGAAACUGAUCAUUUCCUGUCAAGAAUGCCCUACUCAGGGGAUGCCAAAGAUUCACAUCUCUUGCAACUCACCGAGUGGGAUGGGACAUGCUAAUAAACAUGUAUGUUUUGCCAUCUGUACUCUGGUAUCCUGCAUUCAAAAUAAAAAAUAAUAAGGCUUGCUAAGAAAUUUUCAGUGAUCUAGUAUUGUUGUUUUGUUGUUGUUGCUAUUUGUUAUUUGUGCAUUUGUUUGUGGAAAGCUACUUGUAAUUGCCACAGCCAGUGAUUCAGGUAUCUGACUUGAUUUCAAAUGAUUUGUGAGAAGUCAACCACUGAGGACAGAGCCGUGGAACAAACUUGAUUAUCAAAAAUACAAAAUGAU
rnacentral:lncRNA from 7 species